UCCUGUUCCGCCAUUUUGUUCUCGGCGCGUGGGCAAGUUUGUGAUUGUUUGAAGAUGGCUGCCGCUGCGGUCGAGGAUGGAGAGUCAGACAGAUAGACAGGGGCUAGUGAGAGGAGGAGGCGGAGGAAGAAGAAGAAGAAGAAGAAGAUGAUGAAGAUGAAUGGGUGAGGAUGUGUCAUGGCGAUGGUACGGAGCGGCUGGGUCCGGGCCCGGCGGGUGAUGGUCCAAAUGCCGGACUCUGUUGGUGAGCUUCGCCGUCUUUGUGACUCUCCUGGGGCUGACGUUCUUCUCUCUGGGCAGGGGAUCGGUGAAUGAACGACUCCUGGUGACUUAUGGCGGGGAGGGGAGUGAGACUGAGGGGUUUCGAGCUGCUGAAACAGGGCGUGGGACCGAACCCAAGGUGGGGAUCUUGCCUGAAGGCCGCGGUUGGUGCCGGGUAUGGAUAGGCCAGAGAUGUGCCCGCACCUGAAAUUCUCAUUUGAAAAUUAGUGUCUUCGCAUUACUGAAAAGGACAUCCUUCUAAUAACACAAGCAGAAAUGUGGCGUGGAUGUAACAGCAGAGUCAUUAUCUUCAUCAACGUGCCCUGAAAGUUUACUCCUUAUUUUGAAAAUGGUAUUCAUGCAGAAGAGCAUGAUGUAUGGAGAAAACCAGCUUCAAUGUUGCUAUGCCUGCUCAAGAACUAAAGGGUGGAGGAUGGCCGAUGAUGUGGUAAUAUCAGUGGACUAGUGAUCCAGAGGUCCAGACUAUUGGGAAUGACAGAGCGACUGGUAGAAGCAAAUUUGAUUAAUAAAGUCUAGGAUUAAUAGCAGGUCUCAGAAUUAUGACUGUGACAACUAUCAUUGAUCUUUAUUUUUUAAAAAAAGUCCAAUUCACCUGUGUCCUUCAGGAAGGAAGUCCUCCAUUUUUAACUGGACUGGCCUACAUGCAACUCCAGAAUCACAGUAAUGACAUCGACUGUCCUCUGAAAUAGUGUGGCGAGUCACUCGGUUCAACGCAUAUUAUCUGUGAAAUUUUGUUUUCAUUUAAAAAAUUUCUGGAAAUUUAUAUUUUUUGUAUUUUGAUGUGUACAGCUUAGACAUUGGAUUUUGGAAGAAUAAUGGAUCAUUAAAGCUAGAAUUUGUGGUUCUACCUGAAAUAAUGCACUUUCCUUUUGGCUCCGUUUUAUCUAUUGUAUCUACUUGUUCAAAAUAAAGAAUUUACUGCAAACA